GCUCUCACGGGUAACAGGGAAUUAGGGUUCGAUUCUGGAGAAGGAGCCUGAGAAACGGCUACUACAUCUACGGAAGGCAGCAGGCGCGUAAAUUACCCAAUCCUGACUCAGGGAGGUGGUGACAAGAUAUAACGACCCGAUUAACGUCGUGAUUGUAGUGAGGAUAUUCCAAAAAGAAUCACAAGAACGAUUAGAGGGCAAGUCUGGUGCCAGCAGCCGCGGUAAUUCCAGCUCUAAUAGCGUAUAUUAAAGUUGCUGCAGUUAAAAAGCUCGUAGUUGGAUUUCAAGGAUCACAUAUUCCUAAGGAAUGUGUACCCUACUAGCCAGUUCUGGCUGUUACUGUGAGAAAAUUAGAGUGUUUAAAGCAGGCUCAUGCAAGAAUACAUUAGCAUGGAAUAACGAAUGAGUCUAGAAUCUUGGUUAAUUCUAGGUCUCGAUUAAUAGAGACAGUUGGGGGCAUUAGUAUUUAAUUGUCAGAGGUGAAAUUCUUGGAUUUGUUAAAGACUAACGUAUGCGAAAGCAUUUGCCAA
rnacentral:rRNA from 1 species